AUACGGAGGAUCCGAGCGUUAUCCGGAUUUAUUGGGUUUAAAGGGAGCGUAGAUGGAUGUUUAAGUCAGUUGUGAAAGUUUGCGGCUCAACCGUAAAAUUGCAGUUGAUACUGGAUAUCUUGAGUGCAGUUGAGGCAGGCGGAAUUCGUGGUGUAGCGGUGAAAUGCUUAGAUAUCACGAAGAACUCCGAUUGCGAAGGCAGCCUGCUAAGCUGCAACUGACAUUGAGGCUCGAAAGUGUGGGUAUCAAACAGGAUUAGAUACCCUGGUAGUCCACACGGUAAACGAUGAAUACUCGCUGUUUGCGAUAUACAGCAAGCGGCCAAGCGAAAGCGUUAAGUAUUCCACCUGGGGAGUACGCCGGCAUCGGUGAAACUCAAAUGAAUUGACGGGG
rnacentral:rRNA from 1 species